rnacentral:rRNA from 1 species
UACGUAGGGUGCAAGCGUUGUCCGGAAUUAUUGGGCGUAAAGAGCUCGUAGGCGGUUUGUCGCGUCUGCUGUGAAAACCCGAGGCUCAACCUCGGGCCUGCAGUGGGUACGGGCAGACUAGAGUGCGGUAGGGGAGAUUGGAAUUCCUGGUGUAGCGGUGGAAUGCGCAGAUAUCAGGAGGAACACCGGUGGCGAAGGCGGCUUCCUGGACCGACACUGACGCUGAGGCGCGAAAGCUAGGGGAGCAAACGGG